rnacentral:tRNA from 1 species
UGGGGUGUAGCUUAGUGGUAGACCGCCUGCCUUCCACGCGGGAGGCCCUGGAUUCCAACCCCAGCACCAAAG